GGUCCUAUCGUCUAGCCUGGUCUAGGACGUUCCCCUCUCACGGGAAAAACUCGGGUUCGAAUCCCGAUGGGACCA
rnacentral:tRNA from 1 species